AUUGAACGCUGGCGGCAGGCUUAACACAUGCAAGUCGAGCGGGGAAUGGUAGCUUGCUACCUGACCUAGCGGCGGACGGGUGAGUAAUGCUUAGGAAUCUGCCUAUUAGUGGGGGACAACAUUCCGAAAGGAAUGCUAAUACCGCAUACGCCCUACGGGGGAAAGCAGGGGAUCUUCGGACCUUGCGCUAAUAGAUGAGCCUAAGUCAGAUUAGCUAGUUGGUGGGGUAAAGGCCUACCAAGGCGACGAUCUGUAGCGGGUCUGAGAGGAUGAUCCGCCACACUGGGACUGAGAGACGGCCCAGACUCCUACGGGAGGCAGCAGUGGGGAAUAUUGGACAAUGGGCGCAAGCCUGAUCCAGCCAUGCCGCGUGUGUGAAGAAGGCCUUUUGGUUGUAAAGCACUUUAAGCGAGGAGGAGGCUACUGAGAUUAAUACUCUUGGAUAGUGGACGUUACUCGCAGAAUAAGCACCGGCUAACUCUGUGCCAGCCGCCGCAGUAAAAC
rnacentral:rRNA from 1 species